UGCACUUGGCUCACCACCCUCAGCACCUCCAAUCUUGACUGAUCUAGGAAGCUAAGCAGGGUCAGUCUGUGUCAGUACUUGAAUGGAAGACUGCCUGGGCUUGUCAGUGACUGUGGCUCAGGAGCAU
rnacentral:rRNA from 1 species